GGAUAAGUGGCCGAGUGGUUUAUGGCUUGAUAUUUGAGAUAUCAUACACUUUAUCGUGUCGCGAGUUCGAAUCCCGCCUUAUCCG
rnacentral:tRNA from 1 species